AGGAGGCCAGACACAGACAUCAUGAGAGGACUGUGCAGCAGCUCACUGGAGCAUCUCAGGCACCCAAGGAACUCGUGGAAACAACUGUGCAAGGCCCAGGUGGAGGAAUAGAGAACCUGCAGUUAUUCUGGAAGGAGGGCAGGUGGCUUAAAAUGAAUUGUCAGCUGCUGGGAGCCAUGUGGGUCCUAUGGAAGCUUCUCCAACAGCCUCAGGGCAGCAGCAGCAGCACCCAGAGUAGCUCUUGUUCCUCUACGAAACCUCCUCAAAAAGGUACCAUGGCCAUGAAUAAAGCAUUCAAGACAGUCACCUUCCAGGAGGGUCCCACGAGGAGAAAUGAGGGGAAGAACACAAGAAAGGCUUUGUCUGACUACAGGGAACAAUUCAUUGGCAGAAAUUGCCCUGAGAUUGACUCCCCAUUGCCUUGGGUCCCAAGGUCCUGGGAGAGAAAAGGUCAGUUCAUUUUUUAUUAACUCUUAAAUGUCAGUGUCUUUAUAAUUAGUAAUGUAACAAAAUU
rnacentral:lncRNA from 1 species